GGAUCCGUGGCCUAGUGGAUAGCGCUGCGGACUUCUAAUGCAUUCUCCCUUCAGGUACGUUCCUGUUUCGAUUCCGCCGCGGGUCAG